UGCGGCUAUUCAAAUUAGCCACACAGUGGGAUGUAAGGAGCUCUCUGAUUGGUUGGACAGACACAGGCUGUCUGCUUGGAUUUUUCUAGCUCAUAGCUUCGCCCUGCUACGAAGCGUGUGUGCUUGUACAAAGGCCGUUCAGCCUUUGGAUUUACACUCGGCUCGACAUGGAUAUGUGAAGAAUGAAGGGACCCUGCAGCGAAACGGAGAGCUCAACCUCUGACUGAGUGCCUGUUUUCGCAGUCUGACCACCUGUUGAAGGGCUGUUUGAUGAUGAUUUGGAUUCCUCUGGGAGAUGAGGACACACCCACAUCUGUUCCAUACUGCAGCCAUUGAUGGUGUUAUGGCUCUGAGGCAGCUUUGGGCCAUCAGACGCACACACUGGAAAACCUUCAUGCAGGAGAGACGGCCUCAGUGAUUUAGGUUCAUAAGCGAGUUCAAACAUUUUCUGGCCUCUUAUCACUUAGAUUUCUUAGUCUUAAAAGUGAAUGCAUUUAAAGCAGGAACUGCGCACCUAGCCACCAGAAGUUUGGCAGCAUGAGUACUGUAAAGUUUUGUAGGGUCCUUGUUAAAAAUUCCACAAGCACCACACCACAUUUGUCAUAUAAAGUUCCAUUUUUUACAAUACAUUGUUGAAAUUCUCUCCUGCAUGAAGUCCAGGUGCUGGUUUUCCAUGCGCGUGGCUCUUGUGGUCCUCCAUAAUUUCUGACUGCAAGUAACUUUCUUAUAGAGGCGAACAGCAGGACUGAUUUUUGUUUACUGACUCUGGUCCUCGCUGGUUUCUAAGACGGCCUCAACAGUCCCCACAUAAACCUUAAAUUGUCGCUGAACUGGUAAACAAACACGAGACGGACAAACAUUGUCUCUGUUCACGUUAAUUUUAUAUACUGUUGUCACGUACGAGGCACACACACAACAGGAGUUUGUUGACAGCAAAGUAGGUUACAUUCCUCUCUCUCCCAACACGACCAUGAGUCUCUCCCACCUCCUUCCACUUCGCAUAAAACUCUAAUUUUAUACUCCCUACUACAGCAGGAAACUGAGUCAAAAACAACAUCACUCUGUUCACACCCGCCCUGUCCUUCUCGGCCGGGGGUGAACCACAGCGUGGCAAGCAUCGUGGGGUCCAGACUUAGGAGAGAGGGGCACUCCGGUUCCACACCGAUGAACUGAAGUACAGUGGAAACCACAGUUUGAAUAUCACUUUCAGUACCUUGACUUUGAUUUUAUUUGACAUUUUUUUUUUGUAAAUACAGUGGCUCAGUAUAUGGAUGCGUUUUUGCAACACUAAUUGCUGGUGUUUUUCUGCAUUUUUCUGAAAAUGGGUCAUGCAAAGACCCAAAAAAAGGAGAGAGGUUAUGUUUGGGAUUGUGAUUUAUUAUAAAAGAAAAAAAAAACCUCCUUUGUGUAAAGAGGUUUUUGUUUGAUUUAUAAUCAAAUAAUUUUUUAUCCACUUAAAAGUGACAUUUAUCCCAACCUAUUGAGUGGUUUUAUUUUCCUUUUUUGGACUCAUAAAAUUUGACAAAGUGAACCUGUAUCCGGAUCUGCUCUUGAGUAGUUAAUACUUUGAUUGAAUGAGGCUCUGGUCUCCCAAAAGGAGAAGGAUCCAGAGGUAGACAGCUAUAGAGGAGCAGUGGUUUCUGGGGCUGAGCUCUGUUCCCUGCAGGCAUUUGGUUUAAACUUGUCUCUGCUUUUAGAAACUUGGCCGUCAGGAAAAACAUAACACCCCCCCUCCUUCACAAAGACGCAAGCGAGUCACAGACUGGAGCAACAGCAGAUGAUGCUGUAGCGUGCAGCCUUCCUGUCUAAGUAAACAGUGAUUCAGACGGAUGAGGAGUGGGAGGCUGUGGUUUGCUCCAGCCUGGCAGCACCAAGCCUCUCCCAGCUCCACCACAACAGGAUAUGGUCCGUGGGCCCACACUGGCCAUGGUUGCUUCAUAAUAUUGUCUUCUCCAGCUUUUACCAUUUGGUUCGCCUGGUAAUAUUCAUGCACGCUGACUACCAUGUGAGAAGCUGGACCCAUGUUUCUGGAAAAUAUAUCUCACUGUGGUGUUUUUGACCAAAGUGACAGUGAGUGAGGUUACUUUCCCUUCUCAUCUGUGUCUUAUAUAACUCUACAUACGCAAGUCUGGAUAAGUGGGCACGGAGAAGAUUAGUAAUUAGGUUUCUGUGACUCAACAGAUGGUACAGUGCAGAUUUUAAGCACAACAGUUUACUAUGUAACCACCGCAUCUUUCCAAAACAGUAAUUUUCAAACAUAUUUCAACUUUAUGCUUUGAUGGGAAGGAAGAAAAUGUCAUAACUCAGUGAUAAUUUUAUAAAGUGUUUUGUUUCUAUGCUAUGGCUUACUCAACUCAGCCAGAGCAAGAUGUCCUUCAUCUUAGUCCACAAACUUUAUAUGACUGUCUUGGCUGACCGCUGGCUUGCCAGUAACAAUUUUAUAUGCGAUGAGCUGAUAAAAUAAACAGACAACCUACUGGAGCGUUACGUAAUGAAAGUGUCGAUUGUCGGCUGUUCCUCUUUGUGAAAGUUUCACUGCUGGGAUUUUACCAGUGAGA
ensembl:lncRNA